rnacentral:rRNA from 1 species
AUUGAACGCUGGCGGCAGGCUUAACACAUGCAAGUCGAACGGUAACAUAAAGAAGCUUGCUUCUUUGAUGACGAGUGGCGGACGGGUGAGUAAUGCUUGGGAAUCUAGCUUAUGGAGGGGGAUAACUACGGGAAACUGUAGCUAAUACCGCGUAAUAUCGAAAGAUUAAAGUGUGGGACCUGCGGGCCACAUGCCAUAGGAUGAGCCCAAGUGGGAUUAGGUAGUUGGUGAGGUAAAGGCUCACCAAGCCGACGAUCUCUAGCUGGUCUGAGAGGAUGACCAGCCACACUGGGACUGAGACACGGCCCAGACUCCUACGGGUGGCAGCAGUGGGGAAUAUUGCGCAAUGGGGGCAACCCUGACGCAGCCAUGCCGCGUGAAUGAAGAAGGCCUUCGGGUUGUAAAGUUCUUUCGGUAGCGAGGAAGGCACUUAGUUUAAUAGACUAGGUGAUUGACGUUAGCUACAGAAGAAGCACCGGCUAACUCCGUGCCAGCCGCCGCUGUAACAC